GCAGUGAUGGUUCAGUGGUAGGAUUCUUGCCUUCCAGGCGGGAGACCUGUGUUCGAUUCCCAGCCAGUGCA
rnacentral:tRNA from 1 species